UCUUUUCACUCUUUUUUUUUUCUUUUCUACCUGUGCCUUAUUAAGGACUUUGGCACACACACACACACAAGAAUCACUUCCCCCACACUUGCUUUCUGCAAUACAUUGAUAAAAAAUGAGUUCAUUUUAAGUCAUGCUUUACUAUGCUUCAAGAACAAGGGUAUGGAUGGUUCUAAAACUAGGCUAGGUAAGGAUAGUGUGGAUUAACAAAGAACAUAGGCUUAAUAAGGCUCAACGGGGUUAAACUUAAACACAUAAUGAAAUAGGGGCAUGGCAAUUUGGCUUUGGUGGUCACUACACAACUUCAUCUUCAGAAUGUGUUAUGCAAAUCAAUAGCAUGCUUUGAAUGAAAUAGGCAUAAGUUCUAGCAUUUGGAACUAAAUGAUGAAACGCCUUCUAAGUAGCAACCAAGCAAAGAAUAAUGAGAUCAUGCAACGACUUUAGAAAACAAUGAUGCACAGAUUAUUAACUCUCCAAAUAAACGUUUAGGCUCAAGUCUCACAGGGUUGUAGCGUACAUUUGAGUUCCUUCUUUCAGCAUGUUACAAAACAGAUUUUUCCUUUAUGAUUGCAUGUGAAUUCAUAAAUUAUAACCAUAACCAAGCAUACACCAAAGAGUAAAUCAAAUUUUCAUCCAUGUUUAUAACUCUCUUUAACAGUCAUGUAAUUAAAAACCAAAUCCACAUCAUUGUGUUGGAAGGUACCCUAAGACACAAAUAAACAUACAAAAACAACUCUUUUUCGGUUUUUCAAAACAAUUUUUCAAAUUUUUAUGAGAUUUUUGUAUUUUUAUGUCAAAACACACUGAAACACUCCAAAACAGCUUAAAACACUUAAAAUAGCAAGGAACAACACUAGAAGUAAAUGGGUGAUAAACUCCUACGAAUUUCAUGCAAAAUAAUGGUUA
rnacentral:lncRNA from 1 species